GGGGCUGCACUGGUUUCGACGUGGGUUCGGGAUCGCAGCGGGGCAUGUCGAGCUCUGCAAACGACGAACGUUUCGCACUCGCCGCUUAAACCCGGUGAGCCUUGCAACAGUUGGCCGAUGGGCUGGGCAAGGGGGCGUUAGAGCAAUCUGACGCCUCCCGGCUGCAAGGUUAAUUACAUUGGCUGGCCGCCGUCCGGGCACCUUGGGCGGCGGCGAGAUUCAAGGGUGCUGGCGGCCGGUGGAGCGUGCGACUGCGCGACGCCGGUGGCGAGAUCCAAAGGCUUGCGGACGGGGGUUCAAAUCCCCCCAGCUCCACCA
rnacentral:tmRNA from 1 species